rnacentral:rRNA from 1 species
CAGAGUUUGAUCCGGCUCAGGAUAAACGCUAGCGGCAGGCCUAACACAUGCAAGUCGAGGGGCAGCGUGGCGGGUAGCAAUACCUGUUGACGGCGACCGGCGCACGGGUGCGUAACGCGUAUGUAACCUACCGUUCACAGGGGGAUAGUCAGAGGAAACUUUGAAUAAUACCGCAUAAAACAGGGGUCCGGCAUCGGAAUAUUUGUUAAAGGUGGCGACACGGUGAACGAUGGGCAUGCGUUCGAUUAGAUAGUUGGAGAGG